GCCGGGUCCCAGACCGAAGCAAUCUCGUGCCGAGCCUGGUGCCUGGUCCGCACUCCGCCGCUUCGGGCCAGCUUUCCCCAGUGACGGAGCCACUCUGAGGAGGAACCACAGGGGAGCGAGGCCGAUUCAGUGAGUGGGGCUUUGUCGCAGCUCCUGGGAGCAGCCGGGAGCCCCACUGACGGCGCGGGAGAACCUUGAGGUGGUUUAGACAGCUGCGUAGGUGGCAGAACGGCGUUUGCGGAGACUGAGCCUGCGGUGGGCGAAGAGGGUGCCGUAUUUUGUCUCUUCUCGUAGCGGCUUGCUUUCUCAGUCAGUGCGCCCGGAGGAUUUCUCGCUUUAGGACCUAUCUACUAUCCUGCUAGUGAAGCCUAGGAGCCUUCAGCAGGGCUUCCCGAAUGGAUAUAACUGGCUUCUCUCUUCCGUGGCUCGCCCACGGUUUUUCCUUAAACUUCCUCGCCAAGACGUCUGCCUGUAGAUGAAACGAAUCCAUCUACUUAGAGAAUGAGGACAUGUUUCUCCCACCUGAACCACAAUCAGUUGGGUUUUUUUGGUACCAGGAAUCGAACUUGGAUCCUCGCGCUUGCGCGGCAGGCGGCGAAACCACUGAGCUAAAUCCCCCUGGCCAUCACAAUCAGUUUUAUUCCAGUUAUUUCUGGGAUAUGAGAUUACUGUGAACAUAGCUAUUUUUGCCAUGUAUUUCCAUGUGCCUUUCGUGUUAUUAAUCACCUGUGGCUAUUUCAUGUAGGUUUCUUAGCUUUUUCUUGGCUUUUCUACUUCUGAAUAAUAUAUGUGUGUGUGUAUGGGUAUGGGUAUGUGUGUGUGUGUGUGUGUAUACACAUAUACAUAAAGUUCUCCUAUUCUCAGUCAUGGUUAAAACCUGGAAGCAUAAAAAUUAAAAAAGUAAAGUUAGUAUCAAAAAAUAGAUCAUCAGCAUUUGUACACAAGAUCUGUCGAUUUGAUAGCUAUGAGUUUUGUGUGAUUCCAGUUGGAACAUGAAAUUAGUCAUCCUAUUCACUGAAGAGUCACAUUGUGUAUUUAAUUUUAAAUAAUGGAGAGUACAAAAGAAAAGAUGGAUGGAAUUGAAGUGGGAUGAGAUAAAUUAAUAAUUUUUUAGGACAGAUAUUGCUAAUAUUUUUGACAGUGGAUUAAAAUUUUAAGCCAGAUCAUCAGACUGCCCAUAAUUACCAUAGAUCCUGGUGGCCAGCAGAGACAACUGUUUUCAAGUGAGGAAUAUAGUUGAGAAAGUAUAUCCUAAAGAAUGAUUUCCUUUAGCUCUAAAGAUGAAGAGUAGGUCGUUGUUUACAUUGUUACUGUACACUCAAGUUUUAAAUAAUUAGAGAUGAGUUCUAAACCUGCCCACUAGCAAGUUCUGUGCCAUGAUGGGCCUUUUUGUAAAUAAGGGAGUGAACAAAUAAGUUGCCUUUAAGUAAAAGUGUAUACUAAACACCUUUUUAACCUAAAAUAUUCUAAAAUUAUUCAUGGGAAAGUAAAUAGGACUCAUUUCACAAAUCAACAGAACAAGAGAGUUUCUGCAUCUAUAAAAGUAGUAAUGGAAAAAUUCAUUAACAUUUAAUUGGAAGUGCUGAAUGAAUUUAAGCCUUCUAAAUUACAUCAAAGUUUGUUAACAUGUUUUGCUAAAUUUUGUAUUGUUGAAAAUAAUAGAAUUAGACAAUUACAACAGAUGUUUGCCUUCCAGUAAUUUUUCUCAAGUACAUUCCUCUCUGAAAUUUAGCAAGCUUUAACACAGUUUACACAGGAAAAGCUCAGUGAUUUUAUUGUCUAGUGUGACCUUUACCUGCUUUAUGCAGUAGCACUGUUAUCUACAAUUUUUCCUUCUCUGGUUUCAAUUAUCAGCAAUGAAUGUCCAAAAAUAUGCAGUGGGAAAUUCCAGGAAAUAAACUAUUCAUAAACUUAAAUUGCAUGCCAUUCUAAAAACAUAAUGACAUCACAGGCAGUCCCAGCCCAUUGCUGUAUUUGCUACCUACCCCACUAGUGAGUUAGCAGCCACCUUGGUUAUCAGACUCUCUCCGUAUCAUAGUGUUUGUGUUUGAGUAAUCUUUAUUUUAUUUAACAGUAGCCCAAAAGCAUAAAACUAUUGAUGCUGAAUAUGCCAAAAGAAGCUGUAAAGCACUUCCUGUAAGUGAAAAGUCCCCUCCACAUCACUACUGCUUUUCCUCUUGUUUCUAGACAUUCUGGGCUCUGAUUAAACACUGUACUACUGUACACUAUCGUACUGGACAGUAAGCACCCAGCAGCACAACUGUGACAAUGUCCGGCAGACGUGAGCUGCUUCUAUGAUUUGUUUGCAUCUGUAAAUGUAAUGUGAGGUACAUGUGUAUCUGAAAAGUUUACAACUUGAAUGUUCAUAAAUUGUGGACUUACUGUACUUAGUGCCACUUAAUUGUACACUUUCAAAUGUUUAAAAUUGUGUAUUGUGUACAAUAUGUGUAUUUUUCACAAUAAAAAAAUGGAUGUAAC
ensembl:lncRNA